rnacentral:rRNA from 1 species
UACGUAGGCAGCGAGCGUUGUUCGGAGUUACUGGGCGUAAAGGGUGUGUAGGCGGUUCUUUAAGUUUGGUGUGAAAUCUCCCGGCUCAACCGGGAGGGUGCGCCGAAUACUGAGGGACUAGAGUGCGGGAGAGGAAAGUGGAAUUCCUGGUGUAGCGGUGAAAUGCGUAGAUAUCAGGAGGAACACCGGUGGUGUAGACGGCCUUCUGGACGGUGACUGACGCUGAGGCGCGAAAGCGUGGGGAGCAAACGGG